rnacentral:rRNA from 1 species
GAACGCUAGCGGCAUGCUUAACACAUGCAAGUCGAACGGCAGCGCAGGGAGCUUGCUCCCUGGCGGCGAGUGGCGGACGGGUGAGUAAUGCGUAGGAAUCUACCUUGUAGUGGGGGAUAACCUGGGGAAACUCGGGCUAAUACCGCAUAAUCUCUUUGGAGCAAAGCGGGGGAUCUUCGGACCUCGUGCUAUAAGAUGAGCCUACGUCGGAUUAGCUUGUUGGUGGGGUAAUGGCCUACCAAGGCGACGAUCCGUAGCUGGUCUGAGAGGACGAUCAGCCACACUGGGACUGAGACACGGCC